rnacentral:tRNA from 1 species
GCUGGGAUGGCUGAGGGGUUAAGGUUUUGGACUUUAAAUCCAAUAGGGUUUCCUUGCGCAGGUUCAAAUCCUGCUCACAGCG